rnacentral:lncRNA from 1 species
GCCUGUAAUCCCAGCACUUUGGGAGGCCGAGGUGGGUGGAUCACAAGGUCAGGAGAUCGAGACCAUCCUGGCUAACACGGUGAAACCCUGUCUCUACUAAAAAUACAAAAAAUUAGCUGGGCGUGGUGGUGAGCGCCUGUAGUCCCAGCUACUCGGGAGGCUGAGGCAGGAGAAUGGUGUGAACCUGGGAGGCAGAGCUUGCAGUGAGCCA